GUCAUGAGAUAUCAAGUCUUGUAUCCAGGAGACAGCACCAACAAACUCCUACGGAAGUGCUAGACUGUGGUUCCUUUUCCAGACAUAGACAGCUGAACUAAUUGGAAGAUGGAUUCAGAGUAUAAAACAAUUCAGAACAGAAAUCAGAAAUCGGUGCAAGGAAUUACAGGAGGUGGCAAAAACGUAAAGUCUGCAAGCAAACUUCAAGUGAGGUUCAUGGAGGAUGAUUCGCAAUUAACCUGCAAUAUUCCCCUGGAUAUAUAUGGGAGACCUGAAACCUAUCGCUGGAAGACAGAAUAUGAUGAGGCAUUUAACAUGGAUUCCGAGGGCAAGUGGAAGUGACAAAUCCGGGGAUGUGGGAAGUACAAUGGAUGAAUAAAGGU